AGAAGAAUAAAUUAAAAUGUCUCUAAGUGGGCACAGGUGGGAUAAGGAAGAAAUGAUGCAGCAGAGGUAAAGGAUGACUUCCUUCUACAAACAGACCACUGACACAUCUCAACUCUGCUUGAGAGGAGCAAAACACUGCAGAGGGAGAAAGAAGCAGCCAGCACGAAGGCAGAGUGAGUCCCAAGUUAAAAUGUGGAGGAAGAAGUGGACAGAAUAGAAGUGGGGAGAGGGCAGCAGCCAAGUCAUCUGGAUCUGGAUAAACUGAAGAGAAGCUUGGCUACACAGAAAGAGCUUCCAGCCUGGGUGUUGAAAGAAUUUAUUGGGAAGAUGCAGGUCCCCACAACAUCACUGGAGCUUCUUUCCUGUCCAAUAGCUUCAAAAUGAAGAGAACCUUUGAAAAAAAUCCACUAUGUUACAUAUAGUAUAUCACAUUGAGGCAGACUGAAUCACAGCUGAAGUAUCAAGACAUGGAAAGGGAUGUGAAAUGGAGCUGCUCAGAACUUGAGUAUACUUCAUACUGCUGCACCAUGAACAUAAACUCAGCUGCUACUAUGCUUUGCACAAGACUAGUCUUCAUUCCACAGACCAAAGAGCAACAGCAAGAUCAUUCAGAGACAAAGCAAAAAAGAGCUGUCACCAGCAGGACCUCAGCUUCAUUACUUAAUUGUCUGAUCACAUACAAGUCACUCCAACAAAAUUUUAGAGAACUGGUUACUACUGCAAAUUCCUGUUUCUAUGUACACAGCACAAAGCAAGAAGACACAUUUGGCAAAGUAACAACAAAUGUGCCACUCAAAAGUGCAGGAGGUGCUUAUUAGUGGGAACAAAAUGCCAGGACAGACAUCUUAACCUGAGAAUUCAAGAUAAAGGGACCAUUCCAACAACCAAGCAAUUUAUUUCUGUGCCUCAUUUCCCCCAUUGGUGGAUAAAUAUGGUUUAUAUUCUCUUGGAAUAUUCAUGACACUUCAGAAAUAAAAAUUCAAACACAUAGAAGAAUUUCACAAAGAGAACUCGGUUUAGGUCCAGACAAAAAAGCAUAAGGAGAAUCUAGCAGCUCUAGGUUAGUACCUGUUAGAACAUACAUUUAACCCCAGAGAUUAGAAAAUAGAUUGAUUAGAUACCUGGUUGGAAAAUAAUCAGUAAGGGUCUCACAAAAAAAUCACAUGAUCAUGUAACUAAAUGCAUUAUGACAGGACAAUAAUGUGGUCCCUUCUGACUUCUGCUAAAGAAGCAGCAUUACAAAUACUCAGCAGGUUUGUUUUUCAGCAGUAAAUAUAACCAAAUACCUUUGACUUUAAAGAAAGUGAAUUUGCAUAGCAGAACAGGAACCUGUCCCAGAUGGUCUCUAGUAUAUCGUCACAGCAUCAACUCUACUGCAGAAACUACAUUCCUGACUACAAGGAGCCAGCAAAUAACCAACUGAAAUGGCUGAUUAGACCACAAUACUUUUAUAUUUUCUCUGAAACAGUAACAAUAUUUAAAGAUGGCAAAUGAUAAAAAAAAAGAGAUGACUUAAGUUGCAUUUAGUCCUCAUAUCUGAUCCAACUCCAAGUGUUUUCAAAACAACAACUGAGAUGCAGGCAGUAUUAAAAAACAAGUUGGGUCAUUUCAGAGUGCAAUCCCCACUAAAUGACAGGCUCCCCAUCCAAUACUGGACAAGUAAUCACCUGACCUAUUAAUGACACUCAGACAUGAUGCACAUUCAGGAGAAGUGUCAUUCAUCUUGAUGUCUGCUUAGGCCCUUGUAUGUAAUCUUACCACGAUUCUCCUUGCCAUCAGGUACAGAAUGGCUCUUCAUCCUUUUAUGGAUAACACUGAGAUAUUUUUAUUGGGGCUGUUUCAAGGUCAAGGAGUUUGUCAAUAUGACCCAAGAGCUAAUUCUACAAAGACAAGUGAAAAGCAAAACAAAACACCCCAACCCAUUUCAAGGCAUUCUUUCUAGCAAUACCACAACAAGCAUUCUGGUUUAUCCCACACUGGGAUGCCACUCUUGAGAAAGGCCAUGUUCACACCACAACAUGUUAUUACAACAGAUGAAGGGUACAGAAAUCUGACAGGAGCAGUCCAGAGUUCAACCCCUUUUUGCUUUAGCACAGCAUUUAACACCAUCUCAACACAGAGUAUGUUCUUCCUUUCCUCUGUGACCCUCAAGCAAUGAGCAAUGAUACCCUAUGCCUCAGCCCUCUAGAGAAGGGGAGGCAGCUUACACUUUCUUGUUCUUAAUAUACAUAAUGAACAUAGGGCCAGGGAUUUAGCAAGUGACUUGAGUUUACACAGAGAUGAGAAACAUUAGAGAUGAAAAGAAAAGCAAACAAAAAGAACCAGCCAGCUUAGAUAACUACAGAUACACCAAAAUAUAUACAGGUGGAUUUAAGCCCUUUCUGCAAUGUUAUUUAUUUACCUACCCUUGUAACAGUGAAAAUUUCUCAUUUUGACUUUUGAUGUUUAUUUCCUUACAAAAUUUUCCCUGUUAGAAGACUUUUUACAAGUUAGAAAUUUUAAGAAGAACUGACUAUUAGUUGUAUGUGAUGGUCUUGUCUCCAUGUCAAAAUUGGCUGGUGUAAUUACUAAGCUACUGCUGCAUCACCAACUUCUCACUCUGCGGAUGUUAUUCUGGAAUAAAACUGACUAUUGUAAAAUACUACAAUUACACUUUUCUUAAAAAGCAAAGCCAUUAGUCACACAUUUUUCCUGGAACCAGUGCUUCCCAAAACCUACACUUUGUAUACAACCUUUAAAUGUAAAC